rnacentral:rRNA from 1 species
AUACGGAGGACGCGAGCGUUAUCCGGAUUCAUUGGGUUUAAAGGGUGCGCAGGCGGCCGUGCAAGUCAGCGGUGAAAGCCCGGGGCUCAACCCCGGAAGUGCCGUUGAUACUGCAUGGCUGGAAUGCGGUCGAGGCGGGCGGAACGUGGGGUGUAGCGGGGAAAUGCGUAGAUAUGCCACAGAACGCCGAUAGCGGAGGCAGCUCGCCAGGCCUGCAUUGACGCUCGGGCACGAAAGCGUGGGGAUCGAACAGGAUUAGAUACCCUGGUAGUCCACGCCGUAAACGAUGGGCGCUCGUCGUCGGCGGCAGACAGUCGGCGGCCAAGCGAAAGCGAUAAGCGCCCCACCUGGGGAGUACGGUCGCAAGGCUGAAACUCAAAUGAAUUGACGGGG